rnacentral:rRNA from 1 species
UUAGCUAGAUGGUGGGGUAAAGGCCUACCAUGGCGACGAUCUGUAGCUGGUCUGAGAGGAUGAUCAGCCACACCGGGACUGAGACACGGCCCGGACUCCUACGGGAGGCAGCAGUGGGGAAUAUUGGACAAUGGGGGCAACCCUGAUCCAGCCAUGCCGCGUGUGUGAAGAAGGCCUUUUGGUUGUAAAGCACUUUAAGCAGUGAAGAAGACUCCAUGGUUAAUACCCAUGGACGAUGACAUUAGCUGCAGAAUAAGCACCGGCUAACUCUGUGCCAGCAGCCGCGGUAAUACAGAGGGUGCAAGCGUUAAUCGGAAUUACUGGGCGUAAAGCGAGCGUAGGUGGCUUGAUAAGUCAGAUGUGAAAGCCCCGGGCUUAACCUGGGAACGGCAUCUGAUACUGUUAGGCUAGAGUAGGUGAGAGGAAGGUAGAAUUCCAGGUGUAGCGGUGAAAUGCGUAGAGAUCUGGAGGAAUACCGAUGGCGAAGGCAGCCUUCUGGCAUCAUACUGACACUGAGGUUCGAAAGCGUGGGUAGCAAACAGGAUUAGAUACCCUGGUAGUCCACGCCGUAAACGAUGUCUACUAGUCGUUGGGUCCCUUGAGGACUUAGUGACGCAGCUAACGCAAUAAGUAGACCGCCUGGGGAGUACGGCCGCAAGGUUAAAACUCAAAUGAAUUGACGGGGGCCCGCACAAGCGGUGGAGCAUGUGGUUUAAUUCGAUGCAACGCGAAGAACCUUACCUGGUCUUGACAUAUCUAGAAUCCUGCAGAGAUGCGGGAGUGCCUUCGGGAAUUAGAAUACAGGUGCUGCAUGGCUGUCGUCAGCUCGUGUCGUGAGAUGUUGGGUUAAGUCCCGCAACGAGCGCAACCCUUGUCCUUAGUUACCAGCGGUUUGGCCGGGAACUCUAAGGAUACUGCCAGUGACAAACUGGAGGAAGGCGGGGACGACGUCAAGUCAUCAUGGCCCUUACGACCAGGGCUACACACGUGCUACAAUGGUAGGUACAGAGGGCAGCUACACAGCGAUGUGAUGCGAAUCU